rnacentral:misc_RNA from 1 species
GUUGAAUCUCUGACAAUAAAUGACAGUGACAAGAGUGCAACUGUUGGAGUUGUUGUCAAUGGCAGUCUUUCUAGGCAGGAUGUAAAGGAGGAUCGGAACUCCAUUCCCACGACUUCUAGACAAAGAACUGAUGUGGACAACGAGCCAAGUGCAACUCAAGGAGAGGGAGUACUCGAGACAUACACCAGGGUGGCCAAGGAUGCCAAACUAAACGG